AAAAGCCGUAACCUGGUUCAGCUUUGAUUCAGCUGUACGUGUUCACGAUCAGCUUUGCAAUGUAGACUGGAAUGACAGUUUGAGAGUGAUCUCGCUCUGUUCGUAAAGACACAGCUUGCCUGCCCCGCUCUGUGUUCUUGGAGCUUGGUUUCCCUCAGCCUGCCCGCACCCACCUUUGCACAUUCUCAACCUGUCAAUAAACUGUCCUUGUAUGGAAUAA